GACUGGAAAGGCUGUUCUUCAAGGAGUUGCGCUCCACUGGCCUUUUCAGCAUCUCUGGGGAGUAAGAAAAGGUUUUGGUAUGAGCACCGAUGCUGUCAAACUGAGCAGUGUAAUCAAGGGGAUAUAAAAGUGCCUCAGAAGUCUUCAGACCCCAAUGGCAUCACAUGUCCUGCCUGAUAGACUGAGAAUAAAUUUUUCCUGUGACCCAGUUCUCCUGGCUUGCACUGGUGAAGAGACAAAGCAUAUCAAGAUUGUUGGUUCAGCUAAUUUCAGAUUUAUGAUAUUUGCCAUGGGUUGUGCAACUGAAACUGCCUGCAACUUGAAGAAUUUAACUGUACUGGGUGACAUAGAAAUCCUCACCUACUAUAUAGACCACAGGAGUGGGAGCCCCCCACUGACAUCCAUCACAGCAUCAAUCCUGAUUAUUUUUUUCCUGCUGAAAGCCUAGCUUUGAUUUUUUAGGCCCAGCCAAGCUCUUAUCCUAAUAACCAGAAAAACUUGGACUCCCCUCCCCGGCAUUCCCAAGAAUCUCAGAAUUAAAGACCUUAU